rnacentral:lncRNA from 1 species
AGGAAAGGUAGAUUUCGAUUUAAAUUUACCAAGGCCUUAUUGUUUUAAGUUUAAAGGAUGUUUUGACUUUGCUUGGGGAAGCUCAGUGAAUAUUAUUCUCAUUUGGAUUAAUUUACAUUUUUUUCCUACCAACAUUCCUUGGAACAAAAGUGAACAAAGGGAUAGGACAGAAUAUAUAGAGAAUUCCCACAAACCAGUGAAAAAUGGAACAUCAAUUGAUAGAAAAAUGGACAAAUGAAAUGGAUAAUUCAAAGAACAGCUAGUAAAUAUGAAAAAGUACUCAGCUCCAGUGAUGACUAUAUUAGCACAUCAAAACCACAAUGGAAUAGCACUGUAUUCCUGUCAAGUGCAAAAAAUGUAAACUGUCUGAGAAUACAAGCUUCCCAGGCAAAUUCUCAUGCUGUUUGGUGGGUGUGAAAACUGGUACAACCACUUUAGAGAGCAAUUUCACACUAUCUAGUAAAUGUGAAGCAGCAGCUUAGCUGUAAGAGAGCAAUUCAAACCCAGUUACAGGCCCUAGGGAAACUCACAUGUGUAAAAGCAGGUAUGUGUAAAUCUUCAUUGCAGCAUGGUUUAUAAGAAAACUUAGUACUUCUUAUUAAGAAAAUGGAUGAAUAAAGUGUAUUUAUAUGACAGGAUAUUACAUAGCAAUUAAAAUAAAUAAAUUGGAGCAACAUCUGUCAACAAAUUUUCUUUUUGUUGUUGUUUAUUUUUUGUCUCUUAGGGCCGCACCCGUGGCAUAAGGAUGUUCCCAGGCUAGGGGUCGAAUUGGAGCUGCAGCUGCUGGCCUAUGCCAGAGCCACAGCAACCCAAGAGCUGAGCCAUGUACGUGACGUACACCACAGGUCACUGCAACACCAGAUCCUUAACCCACUGAGCAAGGCCAGGGAUCAAACCUGCGUCCUCAUGGAUGCUAGUUGGGUUCAUUAACCACUGAGCCAUGACGGGAAUUCCAAGAAUAGAUUUUUAAAGUGAGUGUUAAAUGUAUAAAACAAAUGCAAAAAUACAUAAAUAGAGGGGUAAAAAUAUGCAAUUUUAUAAAAGAAAAGAAUGAAAUGUUAUUUCCAGUUUAUGAAUGUCUGACAUAUCAUAGUAAUAUAAACAUAUGAAUAGGAAUGAUACCAAUUUAAGAGGAAGGAUCUAUCUGGGGAGAGGGUAAGAACAAUGAGGGGCACAGAGAGGGAUUCAACUUUUAUCUCUAGCAUUUUAUUCUAAGAAGUAUGGCAAAAUGUUGACUUAAGUUAGAGAACAAAAUAAAAUAAGCAUUUGUUAUCUUAUAAUUUUCAGUCUUUUGUUUAAAUAAGGUGAAAAAAAGAAUUAAGAAGACAGAGUUUGGGAAAUGAACACAUUUUGCAUAUACAACAGCCAAUAGCACCUGCUGACAACUGGCAAUUUGAAUGGAACAAAAUGAGGCAGCUGUUUGGAAGCAGAAUCUGUUAUACCAUGGGAAUUAUCUAGGGCUUUUACUUGAGUUUUGCCUCAUUAGCAGUCAUCUCUAUCACUCAUUAUAAAGACUAAAUCUCCACACAAAAUUACAGUGCAAUUAAAAGAGAAGCAUAGAUGACAGAGGUAGGGCUAUUCCUUGGAAAUGGAACAUUUUCGUGUGCUGGGUGCUCAGAAAAGGGAGGGGUGGCUGAAUUCCCUGGAGCACAGGGUUCACGGGCAUCUCACGAGCUUGCCCGCAGUCUUCUCCCAUUGCUUCUAAGAUUCAAUUGCCCAAGUUUGCUUUGAAAGGUGGAAAAAUCAUCUGUCAUUCUUUAGGACAACUUUACCCAGGCUAUGCCAUGAGCUAUUUCAGGGGAUUGGGGGCACGUGGGAAAGCAAGAAGACAGGGUGGCUCUACCAGUCCCUUAGAUGGCCUCACACCCUCCCUGAAGCUGCUGGGCAUAUUUCUGCCUAGGUGAACAGUUUGCUGUGUCACAGGUGCUGGGAAUAAGUCUGCUCAGUGACAUGCAUGGCACACAUUGGGGGCCAUGGUGUCUGUGUGUGUAUCUGAUGGGCAAGUAAUUAUAUGCAGUUUCACAUAAAGGGAGACAGAUAGAAACCUUUGAGAUUAAUUUCUACUGUCAGCAGCUUUAGAGAUGAGAUCUAUCCCAUUACAUCUGUUUCUGUUCUAAUUUAGGACAGUCCUGGAGAUAAUUUCAUCUGAUGGGAGAAGACUGUUUUUAAAUAUAGAAAUGUAAUUUCAGAAUAUUUAAAACAAAAAGAGCCCAAAAUUGCUACAGUAUCAUAUACAUACACACAUAAACACAUAUUGGUAAUUUUAUAUUUAAAUAUAUAUUUCCUUCCACAUUUAAAUUGUUAGUCACUCGGUAUCAUAUGCUCAUGGCAGAGGCUAUAAGGCUGUAUUUUGCUAUAACCGAUCAGGACCUACUAUUUAAAACGUGAUAAUGUUAAUGGUAAAAAUAGAGCCAUUUAAUGGUGGGGUAGGGAUUCUUCUGGUAUUCAACUGUCAUUUCAUUGAACAAUUAUUUUCACCAUAAGGGCUUCUUGAGUUUAUUAGGUAUUAUUGCUUAUGGUAGCUGACUGUGAUUAAGAUGACAGAUUGGUUUCUCUUGAAAGAAAUAGAUACCCACUGAUAAUGAAAUAUGUGGAGAUGUAAUUAUGGUCCUAACCUUAAUUUAGCUUUAUCAUUUUAAUUGUCUGAGGUAAUAUGAUCCAAUUUGACAAAAACCAACCAGAUUUCCUUAAAACAGAAACAUGACUCUACAGGUGUAAUAGGGACAGCCACUGAGGCACCUUUCCCAUUGAGAGCUAAGUGAAAUGGUUUUCAACACACCCUCCAGGGAUGGGGGAGUCUCACAUCAUCCUAAACUCUUUUCUGGGGUUCUGCUAGACAGUUUCUUAAUGGGGACCCAGCUGCCAUGUCCUUUGUCCUUAAGUUUCCAGAGCAGACUUUUUUUUUAAUUUUUAUUUUUUUCCACUGUACAGCAUGGGGACCAAGUUACACAUACAUGUAUACAUAAUUUUCCCUCGCAUUGUUGCGUUAUGAUGUAAGUAUCUAGACAUAGUUCUCAAUGCUACACAGCAGGAUCUCAUUGUAGAGAGCAGACUUCUGAGGAACAAUAUCUAGGCCUUCUCUACCCCUCAGUCACUUACUCCUUCCCAAUAAAGAAGAAGGGGAGUAUAUAAAAGGACCUGGGGGACUGGGGAAAGCUCUGUCCAUUAUGGAUUCUCUCUCCUAGGAGACCUAUCCUUGGAACAUUCCCAUUCCUUCUUUCUCCAUGUGGCCAAACUCACGAGGGAUGGCGUUGUCCCACCAGGAGGCUGGCCAACAGCUCUGGACUAGUGAAUUUAAUCCAAGGGGUAGAAUAUUACAAAAACUGAUUGUAGCUACAGAUCAAGUGAAUGUCUCUUCAAUUUAGCUUCAUCAGCUACAAAGAAGAUGGACCGUGCUUAAACUCUUUGACUUCAGUACCUAUUUUCCACUGGGUCAGAAGUCAGAGAGGUAGAUGGGGGUUAUAUUUAUUCCUAUCCUUAGUCCAUGGACCAGGAAAUGUUGAAAACCAUGAGAGCAUCAUUUAGAGACCAUAAGGACAGGCUGGGGGCUGAAUUUUUAGGUGGGACCAAAAUAGAACGUUUUAAUGCUUUAGUGAGGAUGGGUCUUUGACAUCUUUGAACUUUCUGUCUUACAGCUACAUCGUGAUUUGUGAGACAGUAAUGUGACUGACCAAUAACAGGACUGCCUGGGGAGGCAGACCACAGCAUUCUCUCCCAGCAGCUGACUUGGACAGGACAGAUGCAGCCAUGGCAGCAAUCAAAUUAUGCAGAAAAGCCUUUUUAGACUGUGUCUUGAGCCAAAUCUCUUACCAUUCCUCCAAACAUCCAUUGGCUGAAUCAUACUGCCUUUUAUUUUUCCCUUGGUCAAACCAAAUAUAUUCUUGUUUCAGGUUCUUUGCACAUGCUGUUCCCUCUACCGGAAAUAUAUCCCCAGUGAUAUUUGUUUCCCUGGUUUCCUUGCUUCAUUUAAGUCCCUCUUCAAAUACCACCUUCCAAGAGGGGCUCUUUUUCUCAUAUAUUAUCUUAUGCUAAAAUAGCACAAGCCCUUCCCAGUUCCUAUUCUCCUUUCCCUGCUUUAUUUUUCCUUAUAAGUUCCUGAUUCUCAGAUACUGUAUUUUAUAUGCACUUUAAUUCAAUAUAUAUGCAUUACCUGUUUAUAUUACUAGACUAUUAGGCCCAUGAGGAGAGGACCUGUCUCACUGACCACUGUUGACCCAGAGCCUAGUGGCCCAGUGUGUGCUUAAUAAAUAAAACAAUGGAGUUGUUUUAUUUUCAAUAGAAUUACCUUGUUUUUCCUUCUUUUUUCUUUCUCUUAUUCUGACAAUAAACCAAAGCAUGCUGUUCAAAUCGUUUAACUCUUCCCUAAUCAAACUGAUUUCUGCAGUGCCAGUCUGUUUUUUUUUUUUUUUUUUUUUUUUUUUUUAGCUUUCCAUGGCUGCAUCCACGGCAUAUGGAAGUUCCCAGGCUAGGGGUUGAAUAGGAGCUACAGCUGCCAGCCUACACCACAGCCACAGCAACACCAGAUCCAAGCCACAUAUGUGACCCACACCACAGCUUGCCUCAACGCUUGAUCAUUAACCCACAGAGCAAGCUCAGGGAUCCUGAACCUGCGUCCUCAUGGAUACUAGUCGGGUUCAUUCCACUGAGCCACAAUGGAAACUACCUCAAGACUUUUUUAGGUAACUCUUUGGCUUUGGAUUAAUGAUACUUUCCAAGAAAAUAGAGUAUUUCCUAUUUAGUAAAUUUUCUAUUGCUUAUUUGUUCAUUCAUUUUUGUGAGUGAAGCCACAGACUCUCCAGAAUCCAAAAUGGUGGUCACAGAUGAUAUUACUAAUAAAUCAGAGUUAAUGUGUAAAUCUAAGUUUUGAGUGUGUGGAGAGGAAGGUGAUUGUCAGUGUGAGGAUGAGUCACAGGACUGAAGGAGCCCAGAUCCUCUACCCUUGACCUUUAUGCAGUUGUAAUAAAGAUUGGAAAUAUGUGUCAGCUAGUAUGUUGCCACUGUCUGAUGCCUUUCACUUAGCAAUAUAAAGGCCAGUUCUAAUAAUAUUCAAUAUUUUAAUAAUUUUUGAUAUUCUACACUGAAAACUGCCUUUUGAUCUGCAGAGACCUGGACAGCUGAAGAACUAGCUGAGAAACAUUCU